GGGGGAGCGCGUUCGGCUGUGGCUCUCUGCUCUGACGUCCCUGCUAAAGCUGGGCUGGGUCAGAGCGCGUUCGAGUCAUCAGAGCGCAGAAUCACAGGUUUUGUGAAAGCAGCCUCUUAGAUGAGGAAGGCUUGUGAGGGCACCAGCUUAAAGGACGAGCAGUGGGUGAGCCAAGAUAUUACAAGGCACUGUAAAAUCCACACAGGAAGCAGCAUAAGCAACAUUGUCUGGGUUUAGAUGAACAUUUCAGAAGGCAAAGGAUGAAAAUUCUUUUUCAUCAAGAUUGAAUUCUAAUAGAUAUCAUGGAAAAAAUAAAAAGGACUUUGAAAAUUGUUCCUGCUGGCUG
rnacentral:lncRNA from 1 species